AGACGAAAUAUCUCAUAUAUCAUUUUUAACUCUCUUUGAUAUAAUUUCUCAACCAUUAAUGAGAGCAAUGAUGCAAUCCUAAUGGAGGUCCAACAAAUGCAAACAGAAUAAUAACAACAAAGAUGAAUCCUCACUAAGAAAUCAUCCGAGAAUGUUCAAUCUACUAAUUUUAUCUCAUUAUAUGUGAAGAAAUUUUUUCUGCUAAAUGUUUUCUACAGAUAUAUUUCCUCAUAUCGAACUGUUAGGAAACUUCAAUGGGGCAGAGUGAUUCCCAUUACUGCUAACAACUGAUGUCAAAGUAAUUUGCAUAGAAGCCAUUUCUGGAUGAACGAUCAGGAUAAAAAACAAGAUUGUCAAUUUUUAAGGAAUUAAUUUCCAUAUACAUGAAUCACAAUUGAAACUAUAAUAUGAAGAACAAAACCAACCAGAAAUUUGAUACUUUUGAUCAUAUAGUGCAGACGAAAUAUCUCAUAUAUCAUUUUAACUCUCUUUGAUAUAAUUUCUCAACCAUUAAUGAGAGCAAUGAUGCAAUCCUAAUGGAGGUCCAACAAAUGCAAACAGAAUAAUGACAACAAAGAUGAAUCCUCACUAAGAAAUCAUCCGAGAAUGUUCAAUCUACUAAUUUUAUCUCAUUAUAUGUGAAGAAAUUUUUUCUGCUAAAUGUUUUCUACAGAUAUAUUUCCUCAUAUUUUGUAAAAUGUCACCGAUUCUUUGAAAAUACAGAUAAAAAAAUGGCAGAAGAAAUACUCCGAUUUAAGGGGGAUUUUCUACAGGUCUCCUCUGGUAUUGUUCACAAUUGACUAGACAAAUUAGAAACCGCUGAAAACAUCAUCAUAAGCAUGCCUAAAAGAUUCCUAAGAUGGUACCUUGAACUACAUUCUAAAUUUUUCCAGAGUACAUUUAUAGAACCUUUAACGCUGCCGGGUAAAAAUAUUAUUUCGUUCAUGUUUCCAUUCUGAUUUAUUAUUCUUAUAAAUCAUUUUCCAUGAUCCCAUGUCAUGGAAUAGCAAAUGAUUUAUCUGACCACAAGGGUAAAUGAGAUUGUCCAACCUUUCUAUUGCAUAAAACUUGGGUAUGUAGGUGUUGAAAAGGUUCAUAAUCUACUUGUUCUUGUUGGACUAGUCGUAUCUCCCCUUCCAAAAAUAACAAAAAUAAAAAUAAUAGUAAUAAAAAAAUAAAUGUAAAAGAGGGAAAAUCUUAUUAUUCUUUCCCAAUUCAAUACAGCCUCCUCCCACAUCACUAGUGGUUGCAAUCGCUAUUUUCGCUAAUUUAUAGCAAAUAAAGACCAACAAUAGAUAGAAACAACUAAAAGCUCAAUAAUUAAUUUUGAAAAAGACGGUGACGAAAAUGUAGCACUAUAAAUUGGGUGAUUGACACUGAUUUUAACCUCAAAAAAGAAAAAAUAUAUAUAUAACAAACAGAAAAAAAGGAUUUAUAACAAAAAUGAACACAGUGAAUCAAAGCUUAGCAUAAUUAAACACAUUAAACACAAAAUCGAAGUACCGCAGAAAC
rnacentral:lncRNA from 1 species